rnacentral:rRNA from 1 species
UACGUAGGUCCCGAGCGUUGUCCGGAUUUAUUGGGCGUAAAGCGAGCGCAGGUGGUUUAUUAAGUCUGGUGUAAAAGGCAGUGGCUCAACCAUUGUAUGCAUUGGAAACUGGUAGACUUGAGUGCAGGAGAGGAGAGUGGAAUUCCAUGUGUAGCGGUGAAAUGCUUAGAUAUCACGAAGAACUCCGAUUGCGAAGGCAGCUCACUGGACUGCAACUGACACUGAGGCUCGAAAGUGUGGGUAUCAAACAGG